GGGAAAAUAGCUCAGUAGUAGAGCAUCGGUUUCUUAACUCAAAGGUCGUUGGUUCGAUCCCCGGCUUAAUUCC
rfam:Aphanomyces astaci strain APO3 cont1.2249, whole genome shotgun sequence.